UGGGAUUUCCCUUCUGGGUUUCUGUUUAAGGUUUUAAAAACGUGUCUGCUAGAGAGAGGUUUCCACACCCUUAUAAGGAAUGCUUCGUUCUCCUCUCCAACUGACGUGGGACCUUAUGAAAAAAAAUUUCAAACAGCCUUUAAAUUAAAACCUACAUUCUGAAAACUCUUCCUAUAGGCUCCUAAAAUAUCAUAAACCCAAAGUCAGGUGACCUUCUUCAAGUUACUCCAAAACAAAACCAGCAACACCAAUUGAAUCAAUACAUGCCAGUUCCAAUGGUAUUAGCUAGAGGG